rnacentral:rRNA from 1 species
AAUUGUGGCCAAACCGUGUCAAAGCCUGAUAUCGUCUAAUCUCAGAAUCUAAGCAGUGCUGGGCUUGAUUAGUACUUGAAUGGGAGACCACUGGGAAUACAAGGUGCCGCAGGUA